rnacentral:rRNA from 1 species
AACGUAGGAGGCAAGCGUUAUCCGGAUUCACUGGGCGUAAAGCGCGUGCAGGCGGUUCGGUAAGUUGGGCGUGAAAUCUCCUGGCUUAACUGGGAGAGGCCGUUCAAUACUACCGGACUUGAGAGCAGUAGAGGAAGAUGGAAUUCCCGGUGUAGUGGUGAAAUGCGUAGAUAUCGGGAGGAACACCAGUGGCGAAGGCGAUCUUCUGGACUGUUUCUGACGCUCAGACGCGAAAGCUAGGGUAGUAAACGGG